AGAAACCAGCAUUCCUGUUACCCGUUCCCACUGUGACCAACUGUCCCAUACUCAAACUACAAGUUCUGAAGACGACUUUCAGGGGACAAGUUACCAAGUUGACAUGAUGCCAGUACCUGACUAUGGUACAGCGUUAAUCUCACAAACAACAAAUGGUGAAGAUGUAGAUCUGACUUUUGAAAACAGGGAGAAAGCCUUGUGUAAAGAAAAUGGAACUACUUCAACAAGGCCUAAUAGGCCAAGCUUUCGCAGUCUUCAUUAUGCCCGAAACAUUCCUCCAUCUUACAAGUUGCCUAACCGAUUACGAGAGGAUAUUCAAUCAUUACCUGCUGACAAGAAUUCUAUUCUGAUUCUAAAGGACACUGCUGCUGGGUUACGAGAAGUUGCAACUUCAAUCCAAGUUUAUACGUAUACUCCCACAAAAGAAGAUUACAGUUUUGUUGUCCGGCAGCUGGUAGGUCUCUAUCCACAACUGUCAGUUAAUCCAGACACGGAAGGAAAAGUUAAAGUAUUGACUUGGAAGUUGCAAAAACUAAUGGGCCGAAGAAGAGAAACGGCAGAAAAAAAAAAGGUAUGGUGAUGGUGCCACAAAAACCAAUCUCCUGGCAGCAACAUUCAGCAACCGCACGGCAGCUGGUAAGUUUCAUAUUUGACUAUCAAAGUUUUUAUUGAGCAUUUACGAGUGUGUGUCGUCUUUUGGUAGUGUACAACGGUGUCCAACAAAGUCAAAGCAAAAAAAAAUUGUGGAGACUUUCAAAAACCCUAACUUGGUGUCUGACGGCAUAUGUGUCGAUUUACUUUUGAAACUUACUUUCGAUGGAAGGAGAGCCGAGUACAAAAAAAACGAACACGUUUGCAUCCGUGAUUUCGUCCAACGCAACUGCCCUUUCUUGGGUCAACUGACUUACCUUUGCGUAGAAAUGGAUUUGCCUUUAGGAGAGGAUACUUGUAACCGGUUUCGGCAAACAUGGAUGGACAGCGUGCCAUUUAUUUUAGCACCUGCUAAGUCAACUAGAACCAAAAACGUAGAUUGCCUUCUGAAAUCAAUUAAAAACUUGGAUGGUGAUUUCGAAUGUCGUUCAAGAGCAGCAAUGGAGGUGCUUCCGCUGAUCCUCAUAGGUAUAAAAAGGGAGACAAGUCCCGCCGCCAUUUCGUAGACUCACGACAGGUAU